AAACUUGUCUCUCUCAUUCCACCCCCUUAGGAAACCCUAACACCGCUGCCUGUUUCUCCAUCGCCGUUAAUGGCGGCGGCCGAUCUCCGUUACCCAAAAUUACACCCCUGAAUCUCCUCUUCCCCCUCAUCUCAAUACCUUACUAUCUUCCCUCGAAUCUCAGUCCAACUCCUCGAAUCUUCUCCGCCGCCCACGGCGGUGCCACCAUCAAAUGUCCCCAAAUUUACACCCCAGGCUCCUCUCCUCAUCCUCUUUCCAUAUCUUGGUUUGUAUACCUUCAAAUACCAGUUGAGCUUCUCGAAUAUCAAAUUGAAGGUCUUCCCCAAAACCCUAAGUCUUCCAAAAAGCACCAAAAUCACACCCUAAGCUUUCCUUGACCUCCUCAUUCCGAAUUUCAAGCCAGAAUCCUUCAAAUCUAGACGGAAGGGUUUGAAGAUCUCCAGUAUGUGUAGGUUUUUUAAGUGUUCAAAACCCAAUGAGUUUCUUAUUUUCUUAUUGUUUUAUUUGAUUUAUUUUCCUUUCAUGCUUAUUUUUACUUCAUUAAGUAAUUUGAUUCUGUUUAGGCUUCAGUAAUCAAGUUUAUUCUUCUGCGUUCGUUUCAUGUUGUUUUGAGUUCUUUUAAUUAUUAAUAUGAAUUUGUUCUUAAUUUCAUCAUUAAUAUAGGUGUUAAUUCAUGUUCAGUAUUUUAGGUUUAGUUUAAUUGUUGGUUAUCUAAUUUAAGUUAGUAAGUGUUCUCCUUGUUAGUUUAAUUUUUUCUCAUGUUAAUUGUAUUUUAAUUUAUAAUUAGAUAAUAGUGUGAAUUAGGAUUGAUUUUCAAUUCUGUUUAGUAUUAAUUGGAUUCAAUGAUAGAAAAUUCAAGGGUAUCCAAAUAUAAUCUAGGUAUUCAGAAUUACAUAAGAUGUUGUAACUAAAGCUAGAACACUCUAGAACCUUCUAAAAUAGAGCCUUAGUCAUAAUUUUAGAAAACUUGAUGCAGUAACUUAGGCAACAAGUCAAAACUUUAGGACUAAUAAAUAAAAUCUAAAAAUAAAAGAGAGGAAAAAGUGUGAGUGCAAUCUAGAAGCUUCUUCCCCUCUGCUGCCUAUAAAAGGCAGCCUACCUGCCUUCCUUUCCAAGUUUUUCAGUAUCUAAAAUUUUUUCCCAAAAUUCGACAAGUCUCCACAAGCUGGAAUUUGAAUUUUAGAUCCAAAAACUAGAUAUGAAAUUCAAAAACUCUUUUAGUUCUUAAAUCUUCAGGAAAAAAACCAAAAAAUCAUAACAAAAAACUCCAAAAACACUGUUAUAUUGAAGUUUUUAGGGUUAAUUUCGGAUUUAGUUUUUUGAAUAGCAUCUUCUAGAUUGGAUAAGUAUACACUUCUGGUUGUUGAAGUUCAGAGGUUUUUCUGGGUUCAUUUCCAAAUUUUCUUGGUUUUAAUUGGUGUUCAAUUUUGGUUAUCUAUUGGUGUUAUUUGCUCGAGUCAAUUCCCUGUGUUUUGGAUUUGAUUUUGAUGUUUCCUGCUGAAGUUUUGCACUGCUAUAUGCUCGAUGCUGACUCUGUCUUCUCUUCUCGUUUGGUUGAAACUCCAGGUACCAAUCCUGAAUCCAUAGCGAUGUAUGUCUAAUUUGUGAGAUGUAGAGAAGCCUCGAAUUGAUUCCUUGCUGGUUUUUGUUUUCGUUAUUUCUGCCUUAUGUAUGCUUGUAGAUUAGGUUAAUUAGAAUGUGAAUAACUGAAUGUUAUAAGAAAUUAGGACUGUUUUAGACUGUGGACUGUUAAACUAACUUGAUAUCUUCUUGUGGACAUAUGAGUUUUAUAUUUAGUAAUGAUAGUUUGAAUUAGUUUGAAAUGUAGAGUUUGUGUUACUAUGAGUUAAUCACAGACUUAAAAGUCGGGGUUUAGCUUGAAUUCAAAAAUUAGUUAUGAUCUUAUUUUUAUUUAAAUGUCAGAAAUCAUUUGUUGAGUACAUGUGAUUCAUUAAAAUUAACUGCAGACGAUCCAUUCUCAUUUAGCAUCACUGACUAUUGAAUUUCAACUCUCAUUAUGUGGUCACGUUAAUUUUUAGUUAAAGUUCAUGAAUUAAUACUUUAAUGGGAAUGAGCGAACAAUAGGAAUUUGAAGUUUAAAACUAGUAUGCAGCAUGUUUGAAUUAGGUGUUAGAUUAUCUAAAUUGUACUGGAGAUGCUAAAUGUACUUAUGUAUUAAAUUCAGUACAACAAUACCCUAAAAUGCCAUCAAUUUCAAAUGCACAGUUAGACUUAUAAGAUUUUGCAAGUAUAGAGUUAAUUUACAAAUUGAUUGUCUCCUACACUGAAUGUUUAAGCUAGACUGUAAUAAUUCCUGGAUUCCAAAUAUUUUGGUACGCCCAGAUUUGACGUGGGUCACGUGUUGUUGGGCCAGGCGUAGGCCCAUAACGCGGUAUGACAUAUCCAAAAGACAAUGAGACCAUGUCUUUGGGCCUCUCAACCUCUUGUUCCAGGCCAGUGCUUAAAUGUCUUUAAUCAGAUCACAUGAAUAAGGAGGCCAAAUUUGUUGAAAAUCAUUCUUGGGUUGCCUCUAUUAAUUCUCAGUAAGUAACACCAGCUAAUUAGGCUCUUUUAGAGAUAACAUUUGAUAAGAAAAUCAUAUCCCUUUUAGGUUGGCCUUAAAAUAAAUGAGGUACGCUCGGACAAGUAAAAUUGACAAAUGUCUGGCCUUCUUUAAGUAUAUCUUUAAAAUUCUUAGAACGUGAGGUGUGCCAUUUAGCUAAUUUCAUGGCCCUCACAAAGUUAACAAUGUGUAGUUGCUUUAGGCGCAUUUAAUAAUUUACCUUCUUAAAACUUGGGUGUGCAUUUCAUGUGACCCAAAUCAAAUCCCAAAAUUUUGAAUAAAAUAUGUUCAGGAUUAUGGGUGCAUUUCAUGUGAAGCGAUCCAAAGACACGCUUUAAACGACGUUCAACUUUCUUAAAAAUUUGAAUAAAAGGGGUUAAAAGCUAAAAUUGGCACAUACGUUCAAAAUGUAUUAAACUAAGAUAACCAAGCUAGAUAUAACAAUUGAGCGACCGUUCUAGAACCACGGAACAUGGGAAUGCCUAACACCUUCUCCUGAGUUAAUAGAAUUCCUUAAUCGUAUUUCUGGUUCGCGAACUGUUAAAUAGAGUCAACUUUUCCUCGAUUCAAGAUUCAACCAGUGACUUGGGAAAUCAUAAAUCUCCCAAGUGGUGAUCUGAAUGUCUGAAUAAACAAAUUCCGUUUUGAUUGUCCUUUAAUUGGAAAAACUCCUUUACGCCCUUGCGGGUGUAGUGAAAAAGGAGGUGUGACAGCUCUGGCGACUCUGGUGGGGACACAAAUCCAAAACUUCAGUUCAGAGUUUAAUAAUUCGAGCUUAGUAUAAUUGUUAUAUUUGGAUUUAUCUGAUUUUCCUAUAUGUUCCAUGCUAUACGUGCUAAAUGUUUUACCGCUUUGAUAUUUGUUGAAUUGUAAAUAUAAACUAUUACGAAUCCCUUCCUCUCUUUGAGUCUUCUACAUCAUGGAGAAGGGUGCACUUCACUAGUUUCUCUUCUGUUUAUAGUCUUUUUCCAUUUAGAACGAGGUUAGGAUAAGUUGCUAAGCCGAUAGAGCUUCUGUUUCCUAGUACGCUACCCCCUCCCCUCGGCUCGAGUUGUCCGCUCGAGUAAGCCAGGUCUAACAAAGCCUCUUGCCGGAUACCUAGUAGGAAUGUUUGUUUGCAUCAUGUGCAUUUUUACUUAGGGGACUCAACACAGGGGUUGAGUCCGUCUAGGACAGGUAACCUAAAAUGAAAUACCAUCCUUAUGCAUCAUACGUGCUACUUGCACAUCUAUUUGCUCAGCUUUGCAUGUUGACCGGCUUGUGUAUAAUGAGAGAAAAUUAAGAAAAUUAGCAAGGGUAACCAUUUGUUUUGAAAAACCAAUGCCCAAAUAGUACCGAAAUGCUGUCGGAUUUUUUGAAAAAUGAAUAAAAAAGGAAAAUAUUUGAGAAAAGGAAAGGUUGUUGUUCAAAAACUAUAUAUUGAUUUUGGCAAAUUGCCCAAACUAUGUUUGUUUUAUUUUCACCGGAUGUGAGAUACGUAGGCAACCUUCACUGGAUCCAACCUCCCCUUUGCAAAAAUAGCCAAAAAAUGUCAAAAUUUUAAUUUUUGUCAUAAGUAAGUCGGGUGAUACCAUUCUUGUGUAAAAUAAGCCGAAUGUCCCCAAAAGGGCGUCAAAGGGCUAUUUUUGCAAGAACAGCCAGAGUCAUUUUUAAAUGAUUUGCAGGCAAAGCCUUAAAAUCUUCUUCCCAGAAGUGUUGUAAGAUCGUAUCUGCAAAAUUAAGUCCUUGUUUUCCUAAAUGAAGGAAAGUUUUGGAAAAAUAGCCAUUUUUCUCUUUUAGGACAAAAAAAAUCAUUAAAUCCCCUUUAAAUAAAUGUGCAUGAUAAAUACCACCAACAUUGAACCAUUCUCAGUCCUGAGUGAGAUCCCUUUGAAGCUCCACGUUUGGUGGAAUGAUAUGGGAAAAGGUAGCAGAGAAACCGCGGUUAAGAUUUUGGGUGGUCUCGUUGGAUCGUUUAACAUUAAACCAAGAACGGAUAUAAUUGAAGCACUGAUACCAUUUUGGGACCCAACUCGUAAUGUAUUCCGGUUCUCGAAUUUUGAACUUACACCUAUACUAAAGGAGAUUGUGAGAUAUGCAGGUGUAAACGGGAACCUCAGGAAUAGAUAUCUAUUGACAACGAGACUCGAUAACCGUCCACAGAUUCUUGGACCCGUUGAGCAUUUUUUGGGACAUUCAAGAUAAGCAUAUAUCAUAAAGGGUGUUGCACACUUCAGUUCUUAUACUACCGAUAUGGCAACCCGAAAGGUUUUGAGGAACCCAACACCAGUUUGACACAUGCUGGGAACAAAGAUAAAUGGGAGGCUCGGCGGGGAUUGACAUUCAUGGUAGCUUUUCUGGGAAUCGUGGUCUGUCCAAUAAAUGAUGGUCACAUAGAAAUGAGCCUAGUGGGAAUGUUGGAUUUCGCCGUGUAACGACUUGACCCAUCGUCCCAUGAGUCACCACCCCAUUUUCCCCGUUUUAUGUUCCAUUAUAUGUGUUUGGAGAGUUUGAAGUAAUUCGGAUGGAGUUUGGGUAGAAAUGAGACAAUUAUUCUCAUUAUGAGAAGGUAAGUUUGGAAAAGUCAACUCAAUGUUGACUUAUGAGUUAGAGGGUUCGGAAUGGAUUUCCGAUGAUUCGACUAGUUUGGGAUGGUGAUUUGUGACUUAGGAGCGAAAUCGGAACUGAAUUAGGAGGUCCAGUGUAGAAUUAGGCUUGAAUUGGCUAAGUUAGAAUUUUUGCGAAGUCCGGUUGAUAUGUGAGAUUUUGAUCCGAGGGUUGGAAUGAAAUUCCGAUAGUUGUAGUAGCUCCGUUAGAUGAUUUUUGAUAUGUUUGCAAAUUUUUAGAUCAUUUUGGAGGUGUUUAGGUUGGGUUUUGAAUCAAAUGCAAAUUUCGGAAGUCCUAGUUUAACUUUGGCUUGAAUCCGUGGUAAUUUGACGAUUUUGAUGUUUAUGAUAGUGUUUUUAUGCUACGAACAAGUUUGAAUGAAAUAAUAGGACGUAUCUGCUCUUUUGUUUGAGGUCCCGAGGGCCUCGGGGUCGUUUCGGAUGGUUGAACGGAGUUUUGCAUGAUUUUGGUGUUAUUGCUUCUAUUAUUUCCGCAUCUGCAGAAAAGGAGCCGCAUAGGCAGUUCCGCAGAUGCGGCAGAUGGACCACCUAAGCUGCCCGAGGGAGGGCCAGCAUGGACCGCUAGAGAAGUUUGGGCACCACACAAGCGGUUACCGUAGAAGCGGCAUUUUGACCGCAGAAGCGGUCCCGUGUGAUAUAAGUGAGACCUCAUAAGCGGUCAUGUGGCUGCAUAAGCGGUGACCGCAGGUGCGUUCAGUUGACCGCAUAAGCGAAAAUUGGCUUGGUUUUAGUGAACAGUGAUUCCAAAAUUUGAAAGAGAAGGGAGAAAAUAUUUGAACUCGGAGUUAGGCGAUUCUUGGGCGAUUUUGAAGAGGGUUUCGAGGGUUUCCUUCAGAUAAUGAUUCUUGGCCUCGGAUUAUGUCUAUAUGGUGUAAAAUAGUAUAUUAAACACUAAAAUUCAAGAUUUUCAAGGGUAAAAAUGGUAGUUAGGGCUUGAAACCUAAGAGAGAGUAAAGUGGUGAUUUGAGAGGUCAAACGGACCCCGAUUCUUGUAAAUUUUAUAUGCACGGACUCGUGGCGAGACAAGGAAUCCAAUGUGAUUUUUAGAAUUUUUUGAGAAGUGGGCCCGGGGCUCGAGUUUUACCAACUUUGUGAUAUUUAGUGUUUUUCGAAUAAUUUCAAUUGGGUUAUGUUUAUUUAGCCUAUAAUAACGUAUUCGUUGUGAUUUGACAAGAUUCGACGCGCGUAGGUGGAGAUUCAAAAGGAAAAGGCAUCGCGGACUAGUAUACGACCGGUUAGAGGUGAGUAGUUUGUAUAGAUGAUGGCCUGAGUGUUUGAAACCCCGGUUUAUCACAUCGUGACGCUAUGUUAGGGCGUGACUCGCACCCCAUGGCAGGUGCAGGAUUGUAAAGUGUUUUUCGAAUAAUUUCAAUUGGGUUAUGUUUAUUUAGCCUAUAAUAACGUAUUCGUUGUGAUUUGACAAGAUUCGACGCGCGUAGGUGGAGAUUCAAAAGGAAAAGGCAUCGCGGACUAGUAUACGACCGGUUAGAGGUGAGUAGUUUGUAUAGAUGAUGGCCUGAGUGUUUGAAACCCCGGUUUAUCACAUCGUGACGCUAUGUUAGGACAUUACCCGCACCCCAUGGCAGGUGUGAGGUGGUAUAUGAUUGGGGAUUGUGACUUAGUCCAUCCCGAGAGUUGAAUAUAAAUUAUUUCCGGCUGAUACGCACAUUGUGUUGUUGAUAAUUGGGCUUAAUGCCAUGUUCGGGGUCUUGCGCCAAUCUGUAGUACCCGUCUAGGGUGAAUAUCUGUGUGAUAACAUGAUUUGCAUAAUCAUUGAUCUCAGUCCUCUGCUUAAUCACUAUUAUUAAAUGUUAAGUCACUUUAUCCCUAAAAUUUAUUAAUUAAAUUACAUUCACCUUAAAAAUUGGAAAAAUGGGAAAUUAGAUUGAAUCUGUUAUGUGACUCAUAUGCAUACUGUGGACUGAGCAUGGGUCGGGCUGCACGCCACAGCAGUGAUAUAAUAAUCUUGCACUUGGGCUGAAGGAGCCCCUCCAGAGUCUGCAGACCCCCAGUGAGCAUUGUCGACGUUAAACGGAUCGGGCUGCACGCCGCAGCAUAUUCAUGUGCAUUGCAUUGCAUCUUUAUCUGAUACUUGGCUGUUAUAUUUGAUAUUGUUUUCUUGUUAGCUCGUAGCUAAGGUAUAUGACUGUUAGUUUUAGCUUUGUUUUGUGGCAUUUCGUGGAUUUCUUACCUUCAGACAUUAUAUAUGCUUAUUACUCACUGAGUCGGUAGUACGGGCAUUUAAUGGAUUUGUUAUCUUCAGGCAUUAUAUAUGCUUAUUACUCACUAAGUGGGUAGUACUCACCCCUACUCCCUGCACCUUGUGUGCAGAUUCAGGUACACCGGAGGCUAAGCUGACACUCGUAGUCUCCAGAUAUUUUCCAGAGUCAUUGAGAAGCUGCUUAAUGUUAGCAGGACCUGGCUGCUCUUCAGUCCCGUUCAUUAUUAAUAUAUACAUUUCCAGAUUUUUAUUUAUUUUCAUUUAGAUAUUAUUACCCAGGUUUGUUUAGAGGCUUUAGACUCGUGACCCCAUUACUUAUGGGUGUGUUUAUCGAUUUUCGUAUUUAUCCAUAUUACUCUAUUAAUAUUUUUGGAUUAUUAUAAGUAAAAUUACUGUAAUAUUCUUAAUUGUCGGUUUUUGAGACUUAGGGUUAAAUCUAAAGCGAUUGUUGGUUAGGCUUACCUAGCUUAAGGGUUGGGUGCCAUCACGACCGGGUUUGGGUCGUGACAAGUUGGUAUCAGAGCGUAGGUUACUAGGCCUCACGAGUAAUGAGCCGGUUUAGUAGAGUCUUGUUUAUGGGUGUGUCGUGCAUGACACUUAUAAGUAGGAGGCCACAGAACUUUUAGGAAACACCUCAUUUUCUUGAAAUUCAUAUCGUGCGGUUUGUUAACGUGAAAACUAAAUCUCUAUAUUCUAUUCUCAAAGAUGGCGA
rnacentral:lncRNA from 1 species